GAUGAAGAACGUAGCGAAAUGCGAUAACUAAUGUGAAUUGCAGAAUUCAGUGAAUCAUCGAGUCUUUGAACGCACAUUGCGCCCUCUGGUAUUCCGGAGGGCAUGCCUGUCCGAGCGUCAUUGCUGCCCUCCAGCCCGGCUGGUGUGUUGGGCCCCGCCCCCCUUCCCGGGGGGGCGGGCCCGAAAGGCAGCGGCGGCACCGCGUCCGGUCCUCGAGCGUAUGGGGCUUUGUCACCCGCUCUUGCAGGCCCGGCCGGCGCCAGCCGACCCCCUCAAUCUAUUUUUUCAGGUUGACCUCGGAUCAGGUAGGGAUACCCGCUGAACUUAAGCAUAUCAAUAAGCGGAGGA
rnacentral:misc_RNA from 1 species